CCUACGGGAGGCAGCAGUGGGGAAUAUUGCACAAUGGGCGAAACCCUGAUGCAGCAACGCCGCGUGAGUGAUGAAGGCCUUCGGGUUGUAAACUUCUGUCUUCAGGGACGAUAAUGACGGUACCUGAGGAGGAAGCCACGGCUAACUACGUGCCAGCAGCCGCGGUAAU
rnacentral:rRNA from 1 species